AACACACUGCAGCAAGAGAGAGCGACGACAACAAUCAUGGGUUCUGAAACAGUGCCAAAAAUUCCUGUUGUUCAUUUGUCCAAGGAAAACUCCGAGCCUGGCUCUAGUUCCUGGCUGGCGGCUUGCAAUGAUAUCCGGCGAGCACUUGAUGAAUACAGCUUCUUUGAAGUAGUAUACAGCGAACCUUCAGUGGAAUUUUACAGGGAAAUUAUAUCGGUGCUAGAGGAAUUGUUCAAUCUCCCUGAUGAAAUAAAAACCAGAAAUACACAUUCUAAGAUCGGCCACGGUUACAUGGGGAAAAUCUCUGGCUUCCCUGAGGGCUUGGGGAUCGAGUAUGCAACAAAGAAAGAUGAAUGUCAAAAAUUUACAAGUCUUAUGUGGCCCGAUGGAAAUGAAAGAUUCUGAUAAGAUCUGCAUAUUAUUAUAUUAUGAUUAAAUAUUUCUCUUUUUCCUUUUCCUUCGACCGAUCAUCUGAAUCCUUGCAUAUAGCUGUAUCCUCCUAUGCUAACAUUAAUGUGAGCUUAAUUAGUAUGAUUUACUUGCUUUUUGUUUGUAUGUUUAGUGAUGUCAUCCACUCUUAUACGAAGAUAGCAUCUGAACUAGAUCAGAUGCUGGUAAGGAUGUUGUUUGAAAGCUAUGGAUUGAAGAAAGACUACGAGCCUCUCCUAAACUCAACAAAUUACCUCCUACGUCUGUUGAAAUAUGGAAGAUCACUCGGGGAGACGAAUGUUGGUUUUAAGGCUCAUAUGGACAAGACUUUCUUCACUCUACUUUAUCAAAAUCCUGUUAACGGUUUAGAGAUAAGAACCAAGGAAGGAGAGUGGAUUACGUACGAGCCUUCUUCACCAACUUCAUUUGCUGUCAUAGCUGGUGAUGUAUGCAUGGUGGGUUUAUCCUAUUUCUUAUUUUACAAGAUUCCUAUUUCAAACGAUACACACACACACACUUAAUGGAUUCAUAACUCUUGAUCAUGAAUUGUGUUGUUUGAAUAGAAAAUCUUGGUUGGUGUUGUGUAGGCAUGGAGCAAUGACAGGAUAAAAUCUUCUUACCAUCGAGUCGUUGUAAGCAGCGAAGAAGACAGAUAUGCACUGGGGUUAUUCACAUUCCUAGAUGGGGUGGUGCAAACAGCAGAGGAGCUAGUAGAUGAUGAACACCCAUUACAGUACAAGCCCUUUGAACACCUGAAGCUUCUUGAUUUCUAUGAAUCAUCCAAUGAUCCGGAUAAACGUGACAUCAAUAUCAUGAAAACCUACUGUGGUGUUUAAUACUCUAAAAUGUAAUGACAUGUCUCCUUUUCUUUUGUUUUUCCUCAGUCGAUUGUUUUCAACCAGUCUUAUUUGUACCUCUUGGGUGAAUGAAAUGUUUAAUUAUUUGGUGAAGGCUAGGAGUCAUGUUCUACCUUGGGAUUAUUGAUCUUGUUUGCAAACAACUUUUAAUUUUACGAUUAGAUCUCUGAAGUUUCAGAAAUUCUAAAUUUAAGCCCUUCCAUCAAUAUCUUUCUAUAUUGUUGUAGGAAUUAUUUAUUGCAGAGAAUAUUUAAGGCCUUCCAUCAAUAUCUCUAAAAAUAUUUGAAUUAUUUGAUAACAAAAUUAACAUUACCAGAAAUUCAACUAGAACCAUCAGAAUUACCGGCGCAAUUUUUCUAUUGGUAAUUUACGUCCAUCAGUUCAAUAAGACCCCAACAAAUUUGAGUCCAACAAAAGCUUUAGCCAAUUCAAGUCUAGUAAAGAUCUUGGAAGAUUCCUUUAAAUUCAACCCUAUUAAUUAGAAAAUCCAACUCUAUCAACAUAAAUGAGAGUCAACUCUUUAAUCAGGAAGAUCCAAGAAAAUUCAACCUACUAGUCAAGAAAUUCAACCCUACCAUCAGGAAUUAGCGUCAACCUUACAAUCAAGAAGCUCCAUGGAAAUUCAGCCUUAUUAAUCAGGAAAUUCAAACAUGCCAUCAAGAAACAAUGGCAACUUUAUAAUCAUGAAGCACAAAGAAAAUUCAACCAAGAAAAUUCAAAUUUUUUUUUGUAUUUUGGAAGUUUUGAAAAAAACCAGGUAUUUUAAUACCGGAUUUUGUAUUUUUUUCAAAAUAAAAUAUUUGUUAAAUGUGUUUUUUUUUUAUUCUGGAAAUGGGCUGCACCCGACUCAAAUUAGUGGUUUGUGCUAGGCUGGAUUCAGCCCAAAACUAAAGGGGCUAGUUACUGUGCAUAAGAGCCUUUUUUUUCUUUUCUUUUCUUCUUCUGCUCGAAGAGUUGCUGCUGCUGGUGGCAAUGGAGAGGAGGCGCAAUGGUGGCGCUGCUGGGUUAAAGGUGGCCGGUGGUGGUUGUUCUUCUACUCCAAUUCCCCAAACAUUUCAUCCUAAUAUGCUUCAAACAAGAUUAGACAGCAGGUUCGUGUUCAUAUUAGGGGUGUCUUCCAAUUCUAUCUACCCGGCCUUAAUUAAUUGUAGAAACGUUUUUUUGAAGGCGUUGCAGGUAUUGAUGUUAUGCCUAGCAAUACCAGCAUGCUAUUCACAAUUGAGUUCUGGCUUGUACCAAUUAGGAUAAGGUGGCUGUAGAGGUGUCAGAGGUUUUGGAGCUAUCUGUCUGAUGCUCAAUAGUUUUUGAUACAUCUCAUUCAGGGGUAGCGGUAGUGGAGGUAGUUACCCUUAUGGGAAUUUGCUUAUUUUAGAUGAUUUAAAUUUCAUUGAAAAAUUAAAUUAAUACAUUUAAAAGAAUUUCCAACAGAACAACUAAUUUAAUCCUAUAAUGAAUUCAAUUCACAAUAAAGAAAAUUUUCGAUAUGCAGUGGAAGAAGAAUUGAAAAGGCCCAGUAGUUUACAAUUUAAAGAGGUUUAAUUCGUGGGUAGCUAGCCUAUGUUCAUGUGCUAGGCAGAGCCGAAUCUUAAGUUUUCUUUUUGGGACUUCUUGAAAGACGAGGACAUGUUUCUUAAUUGAAUAGGGCACCACUUCUAGGACAAGGCCCAAUAGAUGGUGAUGGAUGAAAUGUAUGCAUAUUAAAGGAAACAAAAAAAUCAAAUCAAUUAAAUAUUAAUAGAUAAAAACAAAUUUAAUUAAAGAAAUAACAAAAUUAGAACCCACCUCAAAAUAACUUAUGAUUCGGGUUAUAAGAUUAUAAUAGCUUCAUAAAAAGCAUAUUGAAAUAAAUUAUGAAGUUUAAUUCGUAAAGAACUUAAUAUUAAAAGAUGAAAUUGAAAAUAAAAAUUAAAUAUUUAAUAAAAAAAACAAGUCACAAUUCUAAUAAACAAGGGUAAAAGUGAAUUCUGUUUAUUAUAAUUAUAAUAUCAUGUGUAUAUAUUUAAGAUGUUGUGAACAAUAAUGUAAGGUUAUAUGUGGUAAAUAAAUAUGUAGUUAAAUAAUUAAGAGUUAUAAAUGACCUUAAACAAUAGAUUAAUAAAUUAAAAAUAUCUUUAGAUAUAUAAAAAUUAUUAUAUAUACUGUAACACUGAAUACAAGAAUAAUUAGGCAUCAAGAAUUUUAUGCCAAGAAAAGAUUCCAAAUAACUUCGGCAUAAUAUGGACCACUCAUCUAACUAUAAAUUUAUAUGAUAUUGGGAAAAUAAUAAAUUAUCUCCUUAGUUUCAAUACCUCAACAAUGACCCGUUAAUUAAUUUUAUUAUGUAAAAUUAAUAACAUAAUCACCACUAUGAAUCAAGGACCAUUACUUUUUUUGUUCUUAGGGACCAGAUUUUGACCCUUCAAAUACAACAAUCAAAGCAUACGCAUUGGUGCACAUCUUGUCUUUGAUUUCAUAUAUUAAAAAAAAAAAUUGUGCCUAUAUAUAUAUACACAUCCUUGCUCAAUCGGGGCCUACUUUCUUAUAUUUAUUAUUUUUAACGUUAGGGACCAUAUUUUUUUUAAUUUAUUUUCUAUGGAAUCAGGGACCAGAUUUAGACCCUUCGCUACAAUUUAAAUCUCAUUGAGUAUAUAAUUAGAGAGAUACAAAUAUAUAUAUAUCUCCUUCCACUGCCUCAAUAAUGAUAUCGUAAUUGUCUAUUUUGGUUGAUGAGGUGUACCAAGAUUGAAUGGGAAACUUAACGUUAUUAUUACAUUCCAUCCAUUUAAUCUACAUCAUAAAAAGCUUUGUAAUUGAUAUUUAACCUGCUCCAUGCAAUAAAUAAUAAUUAAAAAAUUUAACGACUUCAUCAAACCUUUUUAUGAUAUAGAUUAAAUGAAUGGAAAGUCAAUAUAAGGUUUAAAAAAUUUUAUAUGAUUAAAAGUUAUAUUAGUUUUUUAAAGCAUUUUGGUCGUGUUCUGCUGAUAGUAUUUUAUAAUUUUAGGUUAUUAAUGAAAUUUGAUAAUUUAACUAUGAGUUUCAUUGUAAAACUCAUGUUCUAGAUAACUUAGUAGUUAUAUGACUCGCGCGAUGCUGCGGGUUAAUUUGUUUUGCAUAAAAAAUAUCAAAAAAUACUAAGAUCUAAGAAUAUUAGGUCUUUCUACAAAGAUAUAUUCAAAAGUCUUGGGUCUAGCUACAACGCUUGACCCAAUACUACUAUUUAUAAUAUUAAUAAUAAUAUUAAAUUUACAUGAAUUAAGUUUAAGUGAGCCUGACUGCAACAUUGAACCCAAGAGCAUUGAAGUUCUGCCUUUCGAGUCGUUUGCUUGAAUCAUGUUCACCAAGAGACAGAUUUUUUUGCAUAAGAAGAUGGGUCAACGCCCUUUUCAUUAACGCUUGGAUAAAAAUACAUUUAGAAAUAAAAGAAAUACAACAUGCUAAUCCCUUUCCUCCCUAAACUCUUUAGCCAAAGGUAAGAAAGCAAAGCCGCGGUUCUCAAUCUUCCCUAGAAAGGCAUCAGUUUCAGCUAGGCUUCGGCGAUAGCGAAUGAUGUCUCCCCCCACAUUCCGCGCAUUGAUUCUAACAAUUCGAGCAUGUGCAGCAGCUUCGUCCAUUUGCUCAUCUGUUUUGGUCAUUUUUUCUAUGAGCAACAUGUUGGUUCUGUUCAAAGCAGUGUUGUUGGCGUCGAUUUGAUCUUUGUGCUUUUCCAUUGCUACUAGCUUCUCGUCUAAAUACUUCGACUUUUCGCGUUCUUUGUCAAGCUUUAUCCUCAUGACUUUUAUCUCAUUCUUCUUGACUGCUAACUCUGCUUUAACAUCCUCGAAUCCUCCCUUUCGCUUUCCAACUCCAUAUAUUUCUUAUUCAAAUCCUCAUACUUCCUAAUCCUAUCCAUCAGCUCGAAUUGCACUUGCGCAAAUUUUUCUUGGUAAUAUUCUGCACUUUCUUGGCAAUCGCUAAAGUCCAUCUCCAUUGCUUCAAGUUCAGAGCAACUUUGCAUCCAAUCCAAACUCAACCCUUUAAGCUCCUUCUCACUUCCUUCCUUAGCAAUCUUCUCCUCAACCAACUUUAACUCCAGCUUUGUUAUUUUCAUCUCUAGACUGUAUUUGCUCAUCUAGAAAUGUUCUCAUUUUAUCCUGUUCUAGCAUCAUUUCUUCCAACAUUGCUUUGUCUUUUCUGCUCUUGCUCAAUUCUAUUCGUAGUUUUCCACUUGCCUUCUCAAGUCUUCUUCAUUACUAACCUCUUUCUCUUGAUAGGCUCCUCUUACAGUUGGAGAAGAUUUGACUUCUACACAAGGCAUGGCUGAAGCAGCUGAAUCAUCUUCAAUGUUCACCCUUUUUCUCUUAAUAGGCUCCGCUACAUCUUGAGGAGAUUUAGCUUCUACGCAAGGCGUGGUUGAAGUAGCUGAGUCUCUCCAUUUUACAUAUCCUUCGCUCACACUUGGAUCUCUCAACCCUUCUAUCUCCACCAACACUAGAUGCUUCCAAUCUUGCUUGAUGAUCUCCAAAACCUCUUCUGCCAUGGGAUCUUUGAACAAACCAGAGAAUUGAGCGAUUCCCAUAGUCCUGGGAACGAACUGCAUGCCCCCAAGUUGUCUUACCACUAAGGCAGGAGCAUAACUCACAUAACCCGUGAUCCCCACCAAUGGUACCCAACGCCUUUGUCCACAACUCAUUAGGACCUUCACUGUCGUUACCCAUGGGGCCCUCCACUUAAACUCGCUAUUAGGUAAACCUUCUAAUUUAUCAACCCAACCCUGGUUGUCUAGAUCUCCCCAUUCUUCUUCUUCUACUAACUUGAGGGGUUUUUGGGUGAACCACCAAAAAUUAUUGAAGACAGGUUUCUUUGUCUCGAUAUGGCUAACCAUCCAAAUAUACAACAGUUGCGUGCAGCAUCUCAUUGCUCCUUUUCCGGCCCUCCUACAAUGGUUAAGUGUCAAAAUUGUUUCGGCUAAAAUAGCAGCCACUGGAUUGAUUCGUGUAUUCUCAUACUCCACGUAAGCAGCAGCGGCCUCCAAACUCACUAAACCAAUCUGACUUGGGAACAACACAAGGCCAAAUAUACCUAGGGCAAUCAAUCUCUCUUUUUCUACUCCUGACUUCUUUUCCAAUUCUAGCAUCCUCCAUUUCAAACCGGUACCAUUCUUUUCCAGAAACUUUUCCAAGUUGGAGAUUCUGAGCAGCUUUGACAGUUCAGGGAUGAUCUUGUCGGAUCUUAAAGGAGAAUAAAUCCGAUACAGGUCGUUGGGAAACUCGGUCAACAAUCCAUAUUCCUCAACCGUGGGGCACAAGUCUAUGCUUCCAAAGGAAAAACAUCGGUAGUCUGGAUCCCAAAAAUGAACUAAAGCUCGCACAGCUGGGCUUAAAACUUCUACCUUUGCAAUUUCCAUCAAACGUCCGUAUUUCCUAAAAAAUGCAUCUUUAUCCACAUUCUGAAAAUGAGUCGUUAACUUGUUCACCUCAUUCAAUAUGCAAUUCAGGUUCUUGAUUGGUGACAUCUUCUUAGCAUCGCUUCUAAGGCAGUCUCCUUCAGUCAAUUGUGACAGUUCAGAAUUUUUUCCAUACUCUAAGAUGGAAGAUUUAGUGAUGAUGGCCAUUUCGUUCACAAGUCCUGCAAUUCAAAAUGCAUUGGGGUUUAGACUUGUUUUGAUGCAAAAGAUAUGUUGGAACAUACACCCUAAGGAUAGGUUCUAGUUUCUCUACGUGAGACAUAGGGUAGGUUUACUAUUGGGUCUCUAAAAGAGGGUCUCUUGCUGUUCCAGUGAUCAACCUUCGUAAAGGCGAUAUGGAGGUCUAGCAGAUAGUGGGAUGGUACGUGUACCAAUCACAAUCAGUCUAAACACUCAGCAAAGAGUUGGGGUUUACACAAACUUAAACCUUGACUCAAGUCAUAAGGCAAGCUGCUAGUCCCCCACUUAAACUUAAAGUUACAUGUGUGUGCCUCCAAAACAUAAUAAUAAUAAUAAAGUGAUGCAUGACUAUGCCAUGUAUGAUAGAAUGUAAAGAUAUAUGCUAAAGCUUUUAAACAAAGCAUCAUAAGAAAACAAAAACCAAUAACACAUAACAUAAACAAACAAACAAAUCAAGCUUAGUCCAAGAGUCCCCAGUGGAGUCGCCAUUCUGUCGCACCCCCCCAAAAAAAACGAAAAUUUGUUUGACGACAUUCGACUUUCGUUUUGUUUUACUGAUUUGGUGUUUUGGAGUUGCCACCUAGUAUUUUGGUCACUAGGAACCCUAAACUGGUUGCGUAAAGGGAAGGUAUUAGCACCCCUAAUACGCCCUACCUAAGGUAAGCUGCUCGGUGUUUGGUUUGCUCUUAUAAUCUAUGGUGUUGGUGUUUUCUAGUCUCGUCAAUUUAUUUUGGAUAGAAAUCUAAGGAGAUUCCAUGUGCUUUGAAAGCUCAUUUUUCCCUUAGUAUUUCAAAAGUUUGCGACUCAUAAAUCGUGGUAAAAAAAAUUAAAUUUUGAAAUGUCCUCGAUUAUAAUCAAGGCUUCUUUCAAGAAUGUGUGCGGAUUUAUUACUCCCAAUAAUAUUUUGGAUAUUCAUCCUUUUAAGGAUUUCUUUAUCCAAACAUUAGCGGUAAAUAAUAAAUAAAUUUCCUCCCAAAAAUAAGAUUUUUAUAGUUUUUUGGAAUAUUGGCCAAUACCCUUUGGAGUUUUACAAACAUGUUGUAAAAUCCAGAAAUGCAAGAAAAUAAUUUGUGUUUAAGAAAUCUAUGCGAAAACACACUUUCGAAGCUUCCAAUAUAUUUUUUUAUAAAAGAACAUUCAAAACAUGUUAGAGUAUUGGCCGUAUGCAACACGCAAGAAAACAUUUUUUUUUUUAAAUAUUGGCAAAUAACAAUUAAAAUUUUAAAAAAAAGAUGUAAAAACCAAAAAUGCAAAAAAAAAAUUUGUAUUUAAGAAAAAAAUGAGAAAACAAACUUUCAAAGCUUCCAAUAAAUUUUAUUUAAAAAAAAAAACAUUCAAAACAUGUUAGAGUAUUGGCCGUAUGCAACACGCAAGAAAACAUUUUUUUUUUGUAAAUAUUUGUUUUUUACGAAAACAGGUAUUUUAAACACUGAAUUUGUAUCUCCACGGUAUAAAAAUACAAACCAAUAUAAAAAAAAAUAAACAAAAUGUGCAGGAAAAAUCAACAAUAUUUUUUAUCUUUGAAAAUCUGGAUGUCUUGAUGAAAACCGGGUAUUUUAAAUACUGAAUUUGUAUCUCCACAGUAUAAAAAUUCAAACCAAAUGUAUAAAACAAAAAUAUAUAUAUAUGAAAAGAAAACAACAACAUUUUUUUUUAGAUUUUUCAGAUUGUUUUCAAAACAUAUAUAUAUAUAUAUAUACACACCUAAUAUAAUAAUAAUAAUAUAAUAUAAUUAUAAUAUAUUUAUAUAUUAAGGGAGCUGGGCCGGCCCAACUAACUGGGCCGGGAUCAACCCCACAAGUCAUUGGGCCGAGAUCGGCCCAAAAGUGACUAGGCCGAUUUCGGCCCAAGAAAAGUAUUAACUUGGUCUGGGCCGGACCCGGCCCAGACCGCCGGGUUGGGCCAGAAUCCUUCUAGCCCAUAUACCUGUUUCUGGGCCAGAAACCGCCAGACGGUUUCCCCCCUGUCCCCUGCAUGCAGAACGAUUCUGCAUGUAGGGGACGCAAUUUAUAAGUAAUACAAGAAAAAAAUGCAGGGGGAGAGAACGUACCUGGCGUGGCGGAGACGACAACUUGCUGGCGGUGCUGCUGUGGAGGCGGUGGCAGCGUCCUAACUCGCGGCGGCUCCUAACGGCGAUUUCCUAAGCAAACGAAAACGAAGUCCUCUCUGUUUGUUUUCUUGAUUUUUGUUUUCUAAAUUUCCUUCCAGUUUCAAACUUUCACUCUUCUCUCGUUUUUUUAGUUUUCGUUGGCUCUCUCUCCUCGGUUGGGUGUUUCUCUCUCUUCCUCUCUCUCUUCGGUUUUUCUUAGUUUUCUUCGGGUUCCUCUCUUUUUUUUUUCGUCCCUUGUUCUCUCUUUCGGUUCUCUAUUUAUAGAACCAGUGAGCGUGGCUUCAACGUGGAGCCAAGGAGCGGGUCGAGGAGCGGCUGUCCAGGCGGGCCUCCCUCGGCUUCGGCAGCGCGGCGGGUGGUCGGCCAAUGUCUUCUGUCGGUGGCCCACCGGCGUGGGGCCUCGGUUGGUCGGUGGCAAGAGGGACCUGCAACAAAUAAAAAAAAAACUUCUUUUUUCCUUCUUCCCCGCUGCAUGUUCUGGGGAAGAAGAAAGGUGAACAGUGCCGUUCAAAACGGCACCGUUCAGUCUUCUAUUUUUUUUUUUUAUAUAUGUAUGAAACGACGUCGUUUUGGAGAAAACGCGCCGUUUCAUUUAAAAAAAAGGCGCCAGAACCUUGUUUUUGAAUCAGUCCUUAAUUUAUCAUUUGUUCUAUUAAGUCCUUCAAUCGAGUCUUGAUUUUAAGAAUAAAAUUCAAUUGCGUCCCUGCCAAAUUCGGUCCCUACCCCUAUAGUUGGCCGUGUUUUUCACUUUGGUCCUUGGCCUCUGAUUUUCACAAUUAAGCCCCUAAUUGAUCAAUAAACUUCCAAUUUCUUCAAUUAAGCCCCUGAAUCAAUUCCAAACAGCCCCCUCUAUCUUUGCGCCUUCUCCAAAUUGGUCCCUGGUUUCGGAUUUUCACAAUUAAGUCCCUAAUUGGCCAUUAAACUUCAAUAUUUAUGCAAUUAAGCCCCUGAUUUGACCUAAUAAAUUCCUAAAAAAUAUAUAUUGGCCCCAGAACUUAAAUUUCUUCUAAUUAAGCCCAAAUUGACUUAAAAAUCAAUUUUUCUUGCAAUCAAAUCUUCUAUAAAUUCAAAUAAAAAUCCAAUUAAGUCCAUAAACAUCCAAAUUUGGGCUUUUCUCCUCAAAAUUCAAAUUUUCUUUCUUAAUAGGGCUUUCAUCCUUCAAGAAUAUACUGUCAAAAAUUCAAUCCUUGUAUUUUCAAAUUCCUUGACUAAUUUUCUGAUUGUUUUCUGAGCGCUUCUGCCUCCUGUUAUUUUUUCUAACCUCUUUUGGCUAUUUAUUUUAUUUUUUAUGGGGACCUAAAAAUGGGUUACAACACCAAGGAUGACAAGAAGAUCAAUGUUGAGCUUUCACCUUCGUCUUUUGUUGCCAUAGCUGGUGAUGCAUUAAAGGUGAGUCACUGAUUAUGAUUAUGUAUCUUUCAAAUUAUAUGCCAACCUAGCUGCUGUGGAUCAUAUGAAUCCAAUUAGAUAAUUAUUGGUGAGUCAAUGAUUAUGAUUAAUUAUUUGUCUAACGUACAGGCAUGGAGCAAUGACAGAAUAAUAUCUCCUAGCCACCGUGUUAUCAUGAACGGAAAGAUAGACAGAUACUCCAUGGGGCUGUUUGCUUUCAACAAUGGAAUAAUACAAGUUCCUGAAGAACUUGUUGACGAGGAGCACCCUUUAAUGUACAAGCCACUGGAUCAUAUUGGACUCCUUCGUUUCUAUCGGACAGAAGAGGGAUACAAAAGCAAAUGUCCUAUCAAGGCUUAUUGUGGCGUCUGAAAUUAAAGGGAAAAAUGGACUUGUACAAUAAUUAGUUGAUGCACUCUUCUGCUUGCUAUAUAAGGCCUGUUUCUAUGUAUUUCGAUUCCAACGCCAGUGUUUUCUUUUUCUUUUUCUGAAGGUUGAUGGUUUUUUUUUUCCUUUUUUUGUGCUUGCAUUUUAAAAUGUAUUAAUGCUUCGUACAAGAAGCAAUUUAAUGAAUGUCAUAUGUGGUUGUGGUUAGAAAACUGUUGUUCUUCAUGAUUAUGAUGCCAUAUCAACAAUCGUGUUGUUCUAUGAACAUUCACAAGCAUGAAAAUAGUGAUAUAUAUGGCCAUCACAGGGCUGGUUCAGCAUGAAGUGUUCGUUGAUCCUCUCGAGAAAGUCCGGGUUAAUUAUCCAAGUGAUUUAAUGAGCUGAAAAAUAUAAAAUACAUGGGAAAAUACAACAAAUUAAUCAUUUAAAAUGAGUCAUUUUUAAUGAAAAUGAGUCUCUCUCUCUCUCAAAUAGAUCAAAAAAGUAAGAUUAAUGUAUAAUCUUAGUAUUUGAUCCGAUAUUUUCCUGAGAGACAAAAAAUACAAAUUUAAAUAUAUCAAUUCAUUUUAAAUAUAUUUGGACAUAUGAUAAGAUAUUUAAAUAAUAUAUUUUUUUAUUUUUUAAAAAAUUAUUUUCAAUAUCAGUACAUCAAAAAGUUUGAAAAACCAAAAUAAAAUUAAUUUAAAAUUAAAAAAUUAAAAAAAAUUAAUUUUUUUUUAAAAUACUUUUAAAAUGUUAAUAACAAACACAAUCUUAAUUUCCCUGAUUCUAUUCCUGAAUCUCUCUUAAUUUGGACCGUCUGAAAAAUUAAAUCCUAAAUGAACUAGUCUGAUUAAUUAUAUUAGUGACACCCUCUAUAAACUAUACAUAAGAGUUAUCUUGUGAUGGAAAAAAAUAUAACAAUGAUCCUAUAAAUAAAUAAUUUAGUCGCUGUAUUUGGUUUCAAAUUAAACAAUUUAGAUUAUAAGAUGAUUAAGGUCAAUUCAAAAUUAUACUAUCUUAAUAUUCUUUUUAAAAUUAUAUUUUUAUUGAUUAUUUAAAUUAUAUUUUGACCCAUAUAACCCAAUAAUUAUAUCCAAUAUUUUCAUUUGUCUUGUUAUAGGUCGUUGCGAUACUAACAGUAUAAAUUAUGGAUGGGUAAAACACUAAAUUGUGCACCAUCUCAAACACACUCCAGCAAGAGAGAGCGACGACAACAAUCAUGGGUUCUGAAACAGUGCCAAAAAUUCCUGUUGUUCAUUUGUCCAAGGAAAACUUCGAGCCUGGCUCUAGUUCCUGGCUGGCGGCUUGCAAUGAUAUCCGGCGAGCACUUGAGGAAUACAGCUUCUUUGAAGUAGUAUACAGCGAACCUUCAAUUGAACUUUACAGGGAAAUUAUAUCGGUGCUAGAGGAAUUGUUCAAUCUCCCUGAUGAAACAAAAACCAGAAAUACACAUCCUAAGAUCGGCCACGGUUACAUGGGGAAAAUCUCUGGCUUCCCUGAGGGCUUGGGGAUCGAGU
rnacentral:lncRNA from 1 species